GAUAAGAGUUCUUUGGAGAGAGUGUAUGGGAAUAUAUGUUCAUAGAACUUCGCAUCCUUAGAAGUAAAGACUUGAUUGGUGAGAAGGUUGAGGAAUUUAUAAGCUUUUUGGGGAGAAGGAUAUCCAAGAAAGAUGCAUGGCACUCCCUGGGGCUUAGUUAUCUAUGUUGGUGUGAGGAUUGUAAGCAAGACUAAAGCAACCAAAGGUUUUCAUAGUGUUGUGGUUUGGACGUUUGUGGUGUAAGGUUUCAAAAGGUGUUUUAUUGGCUAGGAUUGGGGUAGACAGGUUCUGGGAAGACCUUGACAUAUCUACUUUUAGUAUAUUCAACAAUCAAUACCCAAAAAGCUUAUGUUCAAGCAUUAAUUGUGGUGCCAACAAGGGAACUUGGUAUGCAAGUUAAAAAAGUUGCACGAAUGUUGGCAGCAAAGCCCACAGAUAAUGGAUCAGAGGAGCAGAAAUCAUGCACGGUCAUGGCCCUAUUAGACGGAGGAAUGUUGAAAAGGCACAGAAUGUGGCUAAAGGUUCCAUAUCCACUAGUUUGGUUAACCAUUUUACAUUUGAGCAUAACAGAAAAAUCUUUCAUUGACGAAUUUCUAUUAAGCAUUGGUAUAUAUUGAAUAGUGGUAUUCAGUUUUGUGACUUGAUUUUUUAAUUGUAUGUUUACUUCCUACAACAAAAAAAAACAUUUUGUAUAUGGUUUAGUAGCAAACGGUCUUAUAUCUUUCUGUAUUUUAGGCAGAUCCUCCAAUCAUUGUGGUGGCUACUAUGACAAGUUUGUGUUAAAUGCUUGAGAAACAUGCUUUAGAUCUUGGCGCAAUGAGAGUUCUCGUAAUUGAUGAGGUUGACUUCAUGUUUAAUUCCGCCAGACAAGUUAGUUCCCUGCGAAAAUUGCUAACAUCUUAUUCAUCAUGUCAAUCUCGCCAAACUGUAUUUGCCAGUGCAUCGAUUCCUCAGCAUAGGCACUUUCUGCAUGAGUGUGUACAGCAGAAAUGGACCAAAAGCAAUGUUGUCCAUGUCCAUGUUAAUCCAGUUGAACCGAUGCCUGCACGCCUGCAUCAUAGAUUUAUGGUAAUAACUCUAAGGAGUUCAGAUGGACAGACAUUUGAUGUGGAAGCAAACAUCGUCGGAUCGCAAAGUCCAUUGAUUAAGAACCUUAUCGAGAAUCACAUCGACACCAAUGGUGUUACACCGCUUAAAGUUCGUGCAGACAUUCUGACGCACAUUCUCAAUUACUGCAAAAAACACGCAAAACAGGAUCCACCUAUAAAUGAUGAAGAACUCAAGAAAUGGGACGAAGAAUUCAUCAAAUGUAAUCAGAGUAUCUUGUUUGAUCUGAUUAUGGCUGCUAACUAUCUUCUUAUGGAUUCUUUGAUUGAUUUGACUUGCCAAACAGUGGCCGACAUGAUUAAAGAUAAAUCUGUGGAGGAAAUCAGGGAAGUUUUCCAAAUCAAGAAUGAUUUUAAACCUGAAGAAGAGGAACAAGUACGAAAUGAGAAUUCAUGGGUAUUCGAGUGAUUCUGAAGCUAAGAUUGAUUUCUUGUUCUUGCCAAUUGGGUAAACGAAUUAGUGGAUUCUGUAGCUACGAUUGAUUUCUAGUUCUUGUGAAUUAGCUGCAAAUAACCAUUGUUCAUUAUCAUCAACCCAAUAUGGUCAAUUUUUCCUCAAAAGAUAGAGCCCUGCAUAGAGACGAAUGUGAUUAACGUUGCCUCGAGAUCAAAACUACCUUUUAGAAAAAUAACAUCAGCCUAUUGUGAUUGAUGGGAUAACACAUUGAAUGCAUUGGAUUGUGGGUUUUUCUAUCCUUUCAAUAGUAACACUUUUGUAUCCCUUUAUCAUCUUACACUAUAUAUAUGUGCAAGUUCCAGAAUACUUUGAUAGUGAAUGUAAUAGAAGAUAAACCGAUAUAAGUUUAUAUUUUAUACUACUUUUCUCUUUAUAUUCUCCGUAUCUUUUAACACGUUAUCAA